UAAGAAAGCUGCUCGUCCUCUCCGUCCGCCCACUUCAUCCGUCUACCGGGGCGACUAGCGGUGCCUGCACCGUGGCGUUGUUUUGAUAAUUAAAUCAAAUGAUUCGUGUAAAUGUUUAGAUCUCUUCCUGGCAUGGAGUAAAUACACAAAUUCCAGCCAUGGCCGCCCGGCCCCUGAAAGAAGACACGGAAGCGAGCUUUGGGUGUUGGGGCUACUGAUUAAAAGCACCGCCACCGCUUCAGACGCACAGACAGCUCUGCUAGUAGCAUCUGACUGGUCUAAGUUUCCCCAUCUUGCUGAGUGGCCGACCGACGUGGACCUCAACCUGGAGAGGAGUUCAAGUCGUGGUUGGUGAUGGAUUUGCAGUGGGGGAACCUCGCCUCCUCACUUGGAACCAGGCCAGCCGCAGAGUGGACCUCAGAAGAAAGUCAGCGCUUUCUGUGCUCUUGAAAGUCCUCUAGAGUCGAAGGUUCCGUGACCUGCCUGAUAUAUACUGUCCUCCCUGCAUGCCCUCCAACCAGCGAAAGAAAAAACCCUGGCUCGAUGCACAACCCCGAGGCUGCAGCACGGGUCCCAGCUGUCGGUUUGAGAACCUCGGGGGAAGGGAAUGGGAGGGGAGGAGAGAGCAAGAGAAGAGGGAACAGCUUGAGAAGGACAUACGUGACCCUUUCCAGAAAUCUGUGACCCAGUUAGCAUUCCCUGGGGAAGCCAUGGUGCUACCAGCCCCCUCUUUGGGAAUUAAGUUCCAGGCGCUUUGUGCACCAAUGUGGAUGGGCUUUGCGGGCAUUAUGCUAAGUGAAACAAGACAGAGAAAGACAAGUAGUGUAUGAGCUCACAUAUACGUAUGUGGGGAAAACUGAACUCAUAGAAACAAGAGAUCAGACUGGUGGUUGCCAGAGGUGGGGGUGGGAGGUAGGAGAAUUGGGGGAAGGUGGUCAAAAGGCCCCAACGUCUACUCAUCAAGUAAGUCCUGGCGAUGUGCCAUGCAGUGUGAUGACUGUCGUUAACAAGACUGUAUUGGAAAGCCCAGGGAGUAGAUCUUAAAGCUCUCAUCCUAAGGGGGGAAAAAUUGUAACUGUGGGAGGUGAUGGAUCUUAAAUAAUCUCAUUGUGGCUUCAGUACUGACAUGAACAAAAUGGAAAGUGUCUCACCACCCACAUAAGAGACACAAUACAACGUAGCUUUCCUGGGACACUUAAGGCAUCUUAAGAUCCCAAAUUAUUCCAAGACACGUGGAGUCAGCAUUUCCACUUUGUUGUGAGACCAUGAAUUUUGCAACGAUUUUCAGUGACUUGAUUUCUGUCCCCACCCUGCAGCAUCAGGACGCUCCUGCCCAGAUGGUUUCACAGGGGAGGGAACUCAGCGAAUCGUCGUCGGGGCGUGGCCUUAGCAGCGGCCUUCCCUUGAGUGAAAUGGCUCACUCCUUGUGUGAACGUUCCGCCGCUGGCUUGGAGCGGCCUCCUCUGAAGUUUGGUUUGAUAAUUUAUGGGGGGCAGAAAAAAGCCUCCCCUCCCCCCAAGAAAAGCAAGACGGUAAGUGUUCCCCAGAGGAAUCUAGACCCAAGCCUGGCACGUGGUGAUCAAAUCUGAGACCCUGGGACCAGGAAUCCCAUGGGCUCCCUCUUCUCCCACCUCGCUGGGGACCCUGAAAUAAAGAAACCCUCUGCAAAGUGAAGGUCCUCGAUCACCCAAAGAAACACAUGGAAAGGGCAAGAAAGACACCCAGUGCUAGUGAAGCCACAGCGAAAGGAACUCUCAUAUACUGACAGUGGGACCAUGAAGUGUCAUAUUUUUUAAAGCAACUUGCCAAUGUAAGUCAAGAAUAAAUUCAUAUUCCUUGUCCUGCGCUGGUCGAAAUCUCUUAAUAUCUCAGAAUAGAGAAAUAUAUUUAUAUACCAACAAAUUCAUCACAGCACGAGGGAACAGUUGACAUUACCCUAAAUGUUAACAAUGGAGGAACUCUGGGGUAUUUAUGAUAAAGGAUUAUACAGCCAUUAAACUGCCUGCACACCUACUACAUGCAGCUUCCCCUGCAAUUAAGUCAGAAGGCAGGACGCAAAAUAUGGAUCUUUAGUUUCAACUAUAUUAAAGCACUUGGUCUCAUAGUAAAUAGAAUUCUGAUUAAAAUAAAAAAGGCAUGAAGAGUAUCCUUAAAAGCACAGUGAAAAAGAGUUUUAGAAGUAACUUGCUUCCCAAGCAAACUGAAGUCUUUGGCCUGAGAAAUCCCACCCUGACAUGCUGCUGACGGGAAUGGAGAAUGAUGCCACUGCUCUGGUCGUGUGGCGGGUCCUUUAACCUUUAACGAAGAGGUUAAACAGCCUUACCGGACAGCCGGGCCGUCCCGCUCCAAGGGGCGUGCCCGAGAGAGAUAAAAGACGUGUGCACGUAAAAACUUGCACGUGAAUGUCCACAGUGGGAAUUGUCAUAAUAGCCACCCAAAUGCCCAUCAACCAGUGAACGGAUACAUAAAAUGGGGUUAUCCAUACAGUGAAAUAUUGUUCGGUGAUAAGAGGAAAUGAAGUCCUGCCGGGUACGUGCUUUGACUCGGAUGAACCUUGAAGACGGCAGGCUAAGCCAAAGGGGCGCUCACGGAGGACCGCGUGGUGUAUGAUUCCAGCUCUAUGAAGUGUCCAGAAAGGCAAGCCUGUGGCUGCCCAGGACUCACGGGGUUGGGGGGACCAUGAGUGGCCUCUCAAGGGGAUUCCACUUCUAAGGGUGAGUCGCUUCUUUUGGGGAGGUAUCAAAUGCUGUAAAACUGGGGUGAUGGUUGCACAGCCCCACAACUAUCCUAGGAAACAAUGGCACGCUUUAAAUGGGUGA